rnacentral:tRNA from 1 species
GCCAGAGUAGCUCAGUGGUAGAGCAGCGGUUUCGUAAACCGCAGGUCAAGGGUUCAAUCCCCUUCUCUGGCUCCA